GACGAACGCUGGCGGCGUGCUUAACACAUGCAAGUCGAACGGAAAGGCCUUUUCGGCGGUACUCGAGUGGCGAACGGGUGAGUAACACGUGGGUGAUCUGCCCUGCACUCUGGGAUAAGCCUGGGAAACUGGGUCUAAUACCGGAUAGGACCGCACUUUAGUGUGUGUGGUGGAAAGUUUUUUCGGUGUAGGAUGAGCCCGCGGCCUAUCAGCUUGUUGGUGGGGUAAUGGCCUACCAAGGCGGCGACGGGUAGCCGGACUGAGAGGUUGGUCGGCCACAUUGGGACUGAGGUACGGCCCAGACUCCUACGGGAGGCAGCAGGGGGGAAUAUUGCACAAUGGGCGCCAGCCUGAUGCAGCGACGCCGCGGGGGGGAUGACGGCCUUGGGGUUGUAAACUCCUUUCGCCAGGGACGAAGCGUUUUGUGACGGUACCUGGAGAAGAAGCACCGGCUAACUACGUG
rnacentral:rRNA from 1 species